rnacentral:rRNA from 1 species
GAUGAACGCUGGCGGCGUGCCUAAUACAUGCAAGUCGAGCGAACAGACGAGGAGCUUGCUCCUCUGACGUUAGCGGCGGACGGGUGAGUAACACGUGGAUAACCUACCUAUAAGACUGGGAUAACUUCGGGAAACCGGAGCUAAUACCGGAUAAUAUAUUGAACCGCAUGGUUCAAUAGUGAAAGACGGUUUUGCUGUCACUUAUAGAUGGAUCCGCGCCGCAUUAGCUAGUUGGUAAGGUAACGGCUUACCAAGGCAACGAUGCGUAGCCGACCUGAGAGGGUGAUCGGCCACACUGGAACUGAGACACGGUCCAGACUCCUACGGGAGGCAGCAGUAGGGAAUCUUCCGCAAUGGGCGAAAGCCUGACGGAGCAACGCCGCGUGAGUGAUGAAGGUCUUCGGAUCGUAAAGCUCUGUUAUUAGGGAAGAACAGAUGUGUAAGUAAAUAUGCACGUCUUGACGGUACCUAAUCAGAAAGCAACGGCUAACUACGUG